GCACGCUUCAGCAUGUUCCAGUGCCUGCUGGCGCACGUAUGGAAGAAGGUCAGGGUGACCGUGAACUGCAGGGGCAGGGCCAGCCCGAACGUUCCCAACUGCCCAUGGACUUCUUCGGGAACAUGGUCCCGAGGCUCCAGGUCCGGGACCUCCUCGGCUGGAGCUAUGGCGGGGUGGUUGCCGCCAUCCGCGACGCCGCCGCGUGUGUCAAGGCGGAGCCGCCGUACCUUUGGGCAGAGAUGGGUAAUGCCCAUAUCCACCGGGUAAUACCCAAAAUAUUUGGUUAUGGAUAAUCUUAAAAUAUAUGGGUAUGGGGAAUUUUGGGUGUGGGUUUGGAUAAUCAAUACCCUCCCCAACGGCAGCUAUAGGUGGAACUAUACGUGGGUUCUCCCGACCACCUACGAGGGCGACGAUCAGUACGUCUACUUCUUCCGUGAGUUGCGGCGGAAGCGGAAUACACGGAAUGCUCGCCAAGGCUAUCCUCAUCGCCAAUAAGGGUUUCCGGAAGAUGCUCUACUUUCAGAUAGAGCUCGCCGUAGGAGAUUGCAUGAUGCUUCUCGAGGGGAAAGAAAAGUUCCAGCAGAGGUGCAACCUCUAUGGCUAUGUUGCUUCUGAAAUCUAUUAUUAGAACCAGAAAUAUGAAUCUGUGCUUGAGCGUAUAAAAAUGGUCAUGAAGUGUUGUGCUAUGAACUGACUGAGUUUGGAAGCGAUGCCAAUGAGGAUGAUGCUUGGGAGAUGCGUGCAGUCGUCGAUCACCUUGUAAGGACUGCUCCUAUUGAGGAUACAAGUUUGUGAAAGAUACCAGAGUAUAUACGGUGGGGCCUUACAACUCAAACCAUGAAGUUAGGACUGCAGGUUAGCUUUGGAUGUGUCGACGUACUACUUAUGCAUGUAAAAUGCUGGCAUGAUUCUUGGAUCUUGUUGGUGAUUUUGCUUUCUGAUAUGUGAAAAACACUUUAUUUGUAGUCUUAUUAAACUAUGUUCACAAAGUCCAAA